AUUGAACGCUGGCGGCAUGCCUUACACAUGCAAGUCGAACGGCAGCAUGGAGAGCUUGCUCUCUGAUGGCGAGUGGCGAACGGGUGAGUAAAGCAUCGGAACGUACCGUGUAGUGGGGGAUAACGUAGCGAAAGUUACGCUAAUACCGCAUACGCACUGAGGUGGAAAGCAGGGGAUCGCAAGACCUUGCGCUAUACGAGCGGCCGAUGUCAGAUUAGCUAGUUGGUAGGGUAAAGGCCUACCAAGGCGACGAUCUGUAGCGGGUCUGAGAGGAUAAUCCGCCACAGUGGGACUGAGACACGGCCCAGACUCCUACGGGAGGCAGCAGUGGGGAAUUUUGGACAAUGGGGGCAACCCUGAUCCAGCCAUGCCGCGUGAGUGAAGAAGGCCUUCGGGUUGUAAAGCUCUUUCGGCCGGGAAGAAAUCGCACAGGCUAAUACUCUGUGUGGAUGACGGUACCGGCAUAAGAAGCACCGGCUAACUACGUGCCAGCAGCCGCCGUAA
rnacentral:rRNA from 1 species